GGGGAAUGUCCCGAGUGGCAAAGGGGGACUGUAAAUCCUGGCGUACGCCUUCGUAGGUUCGAGUCCUACUUCCCCACCA
rnacentral:tRNA from 1 species